GUCUUCAUUGACACUGAGAACAAUGAAAUAACUCCAUUAUUUGGGGCUCUCAGCACCUUGACUUGCUCUCACAGAAUACAGCAUUCAGACGGGAGAGUUUAGCGUGAGAAGAGUUGGGAUGAAGAAGACAGAAAGGAGGGAGAAAACCACUCUUCCCAUUGUUUGUAACGGCCUUUCUUCCAUUAACGUGAUCCUCACCGAUCUGCGCCCUAGGAACGUGUGUGUAGGAGGAAGCUCUAAAAUUAUGUGUAAAAAUUUUGACAAAUAUUGUAUUGCAUGAAUGUAUAUCCUCUUAUUUUUAUAAACCGUCUGCCUUAGAUUGAAAGGUUCUUUAAGACUAUAAUGUCAUCUUUCAUUAUGUGCGAUAUUCAUGUUUAGAAUCCGUUUCUUCAAUUGAAUAA